rnacentral:rRNA from 1 species
GACGAACGCUGGCGGCGUGCUUAACACAUGCAAGUCGAACGGUGAAGCGAGUGCUUGCACUCGUGGAUCAGUGGCGAACGGGUGAGUAACACGUGAGUAACCUGCCCAUCACUCUGGGAUAAGCACUGGAAACGGUGUCUAAUACUGGAUACGACCAACCCUUGCAUGGGGUGUUGGUGGAAAGAUUUAUCGGUGAUGGAUGGACUCGCGGCCUAUCAGCUUGUUGGCGGGGUAAUGGCCCACCAAGGCGACGACGGGUAGCCGGCCUGAGAGGGUGACCGGCCACACUGGGACUGAGACACGGCCCAGACUCCUACGGGAGGCAGCAGUGGGGAAUAUUGCACAAUGGGCGAAAGCCUGAUGCAGCGACGCCGCGUGAGGGAUGACGGCCUUCGGGUUGUAAACCUCUUCCAGCAGGGAAGAAGCGAAAGUGACGGUACCUGCAGAAGAAGCACCGGCUAACUACGUG